rnacentral:tRNA from 1 species
UCCCUGGCAGUCCAGUGGUUAGGACUCUGCACUUUGACUGCCAAGGGCCUGAGUUCAAUCCCAGUUGGGGAA